rnacentral:rRNA from 1 species
UACGGGGGGGCAAGCGUUGUUCGGAAUUACUGGGCGUAAAGGGCUCGUAGGCGGCCAACUAAGUCAGACGUGAAAUCCCCAGGCUUAACCUGGGAACUGCGUCUGAUACUGGAUGGCUUGAAUUCGGGAGAGGGAUGCAGAAUUCCAGGUGUAGCGGUGAAAUGCGUAGAUAUCUGGAGGAAUACCGGUGGCGAAGGCGGCAUCCUGGACCGACAUUGACGCUGAUGAGCGAAAGCUAGGGGAGCAACGGG